ensembl:lncRNA
AUGACCUCUGUGUGCUUAACCAAUAUCGUAAACAUCAAUUAUUUUGGAAUAAAACAAAAUAAAAUCAACCACAUAAAAAAACUUCUAUCAGAAAGCAUUUGGUACAGAGUUUGCUGGAAAAUUCCUCAUGUUUCAUGUCUCCUUUUUUUGAUCCCAUUUUUGAUUGACAGUGGAUGGAGAUGGUCAAUAUACCAGAGCGGCAUGAAAUGACAAAGAGCAUUUCUUGAAGAAACCUCAACAGAGUGAUGGGUGAUCAUUUGGUUCGAUAACACCAAAGGCUGGAUGAAUUUACCCAGAGAGGACCGUAAUGAAAAUCUGAAAUAACCUUUAUAAUUUUCAAGUGAGGAAAUGAAGGCCAAACAUGAGAGGCUACAAUAAGAGUAUACUGGGUACGUAUGAAUCCAGGGGGCUCUGGAUAGGAAGAAAGGAAAUGGGUUACAUUUCAAGGCCUUUAUGAUUCUCUGAUUAACCAGCCUCCCAGGCUUGCCCCAUGGGGUCCAUAGGCCCCUAAGAUACUGACACAUCACCGGACAGGCUGAUUGUAAGAUUCUCUGGGGUUUUAAAUCCAGGUGAUCUCCUAACAGCUUUCUGAGCACUUUCAUUUGAUCUCCUGUUUGUUUCACAACAGGAGAUGUAGAGAUAUCUAUGAGAAGGGGAGGGCCUUUGAUUUUGAAGGGCAGCAUUCCUGGGCACAGUCAUGGCUUACUUCUUUUGAAGAAAGGAGGUUAGGGUUUUAGUAAUAGUGGAAUCAUUUCUCCUUGACAGAGAAGGAGCUUCAUUUCAGUUUAGCCUGUGUCUUAGUGAUAAUGGGUGUGUGUGUGUGUGUGUGUGUGUGUGUGUGUGUGUGUGUAGUAGAUGUAUGUAUAUAUAUGUAUACUAGGUGUAUGGUAUAUGUAUAUGUAUAUGUAUAUGUAUAUGUAUAUGUAUAUGUAUAUAUAUGCUAACAGUGUCUAUCUGUCCCUGAAGUUGUGGAUGUUUCCUGAUUUUAUGGCAUUAGUGUCUCCUGGCAUCUCAGUGGAGGACACCUCACUUUAGAUUUCAAUCCAAUGGAAUCUGGACUCUCUCUGAUCCCUCAGUGACUCUUCAGGCAAGGACACUGGUGGGGAAGGUGGAUUGGAAACCAAUGGAGACUUAGAUGGGAAUGCCUUAUUAAGUAUGCUAAAAAGAUAAUUUUUGACGUUCCACUCUUAUAACAUUUUAUCUCUGUAUUAAAAGAACAGGGUAAACUAAGUCUGUGAUAGCCUUUAACACCUUUUUCCUUUUCCCUCACAUUCCUUCUUAUUUAAAAUUAAAUCUCUCCACGGACUGGACACUAAGAGCUGACUUCUCUGUGCAGUGUCACAGUGUUGCUGGACUGUUCCUCUCUAUUUCCUAAUCACAGUCCCUCAACUUUCCCAAGGUUUAUUCCCACUUCAGCUUCAGUCUCUGCUUAACCCUCUACUCCUUAAAAAUAAGGCCUUCCCGGGGCGCCUGGGUGGCGCAGUCGGUUAGGUGUCCGACUUCAGCCAGGUCACGAUCUCGCGGUCCGUGAGUUCGAGCCCCGAGUCGGGCUCUGGGCUGAUGGCUCAGAGCCUGGAGCCUGUUUCCGAUUCUGUGUCUCCCUCUCUCUCUGCCCCUCCCCCGUUCAUGCUCUGUCUCUCUCUGUCCCAAAAAUAAAUAAACGUUGAAAAAAAAAAAAAAAUAAGGC